GUUGCUGGUGAAGAGGAGGUUGAAUAGACCUGUUGUCUGUCUGUUUAAUAGUUGCUGGUGAGGAGGAGGUUGAAUAGACCUGUUGUCUGUCUGUUUAAUAGUUGUUGGUGAAGAGGAGGUUGAAUAGACCUGUUGUCUGUCUGUUUAAUAGUUGCUGGUGAGGAGGAGGUUGAAUAGACCUGUUGUCUGUCUGUUUAAUAGUUGCUGGUGAAGAGGAGGUUGAAUAGACCUGUUGUCUGUCUGUUUAAUAGUUGCUGGUGAAGAGGAGGUUGAAUAGACCUGUUGUCUGUCUGUUUAAUAGUUGCUGGUGAAGAGGAGGUUGAAUAGACCUGUUGUCUGUCUGUUUAAUAGUUGCUGGUGAGGAGGAGGUUGAAUAGACCUGUUGUCUGUCUGUUUAAUAGU